rnacentral:rRNA from 1 species
AACGAACGCUGGCGGCAGGCUUAACACAUGCAAGUCGAACGCUCGUAGCAAUACGGGAGUGGCGGACGGGUGAGUAACGCGUGGGAACGUGCCCUGAGGUACGGAAUAACUGCGGGAAACUGCAGCUAAUACCGUAUGAGCCCCGCAAGGGGAAAGAUUUAUCGCCUUGGGAGCGGCCCGCGUCGGAUUAGCUAGUUGGUGGGGUAACGGCCUACCAAGGCUUCGAUCCGUAGCUGGUCUGAGAGGACGAUCAGCCACACUGGGACUGAGACACGGCCCAGACUCCUACGGGAGGCAGCAGUGGGGAAUCUUGCGCAAUGGGGGCAACCCUGACGCAGCCAUGCCGCGUGAAUGAUGAAGGCCUUAGGGUUGUAAAGUUCUUUUGCCCGUGACGAUGAUGACGGUAACGGGAGAAUAAGCUCCGGCUAACUUCGUGCCAGCAGCCGCGGUAAGGAGCUGUCGU